UGUUACAUUGGUGCGAAA
rnacentral:misc_RNA from 1 species